rnacentral:rRNA from 1 species
GACGAACGCUGGCGGCGUGCUUAACACAUGCAAGUCGAACGGAAAGGCCCCUUUGGGGGUACUCGAGUGGCGAACGGGUGAGUAACACGUGAGUAACCUGCCCUUGACUUCGGGAUAACUUCAGGAAACUGGGGCUAAUACCGGAUAGGAAUCCUUGCUGCAUGGUGGGGGUUGGAAAGCUUCGGCGGUUUUGGAUGGACUCGCGGCUUAUCAGCUUGUUGGUGGGGUAGUGGCUUACCAAGGCUUUGACGGGUAGCCGGCCUGAGAGGGCGACCGGCCACAGUGGGACUGAGAUACGGCCCAGACGCCUACGGGAGGCAGCAGUGGGGAAUAUUGCACAAUGGGCGGAAGCCUGAUGCAGCAACGCCGCGUGCGGGAUGACGGCCUUCGGGUUGUAAACCGCUUUCAGCAGGGGCGAAGCUUGUGGUGACGGUACCUGCAGAAGAAGCACCGGCUAACUACGUG